CCUACGGGGGGCAGCAGUGGGGAAUAUUGCACAAUGGGGGGAACCCUGAUGCAGCGAUGCCGCGUGGAGGAAGAAGGUUUUCGGAUUGUAAACUCCUUUUAUCAGGGACGAUAAUGACGGUACCUGAAGAAAAAGCUCCGGCUAACUACGUGCCAGCAGCCGCGGUAAUACGUAGGGAGCGAGCGUUGUCCGGAAUUACUGGGUGUAAAGGGAGCGUAGGCGGGACGGCAAGUCAGAUGUGAAAACUGAGGGCUCAACUUUCAGACUGCAUUUGAAACUGCUGUUCUUGAGUGAAGUAGAGGUAA
rnacentral:rRNA from 1 species